CUGGGGUUUGAAUCCCAGCAAAGGCGUAAAAGUUAUAUCAUUUCAUCCUCUAUCUGCCUAUUGAAGAAUUACUUACAUAUACUGGUGGGAGGAUAUAGUUACCAAGUGGGAUAGUCGAACUGCAUGUAAGUUGACCCAUUUAUCUGGUGAAACGACCUUACAGAGAGGAUCUGAUCUUCAUUUGUGUCUAAACUUUUCCUAAGUAAUCGUUUGUGUUUGUUGUCUACUUUUUACCUUCUGUUCAUUUUCUAUACCAUGUGACAUUGGU
rnacentral:lncRNA from 1 species